UCCUCGGUUACCAGUUUGAAAUCCUUGAGUAUAAACAGCAGUUGCAAGGCGUGUGCCUUGAUUGUGUGUUUUCAUCACUUAAUAUGCACUGAGCAUGCAUUAGCUGAAGAAAGACUGAAAAACACAUGACUGGGAGGGGAAACAAUUAAAGGGCUGCGACUGAGACCAUUAAUAAUCCUGACCUAGCUUCUCAGUGAAAAGCUAGCCAGAAGAAAUGAGCUUUGAUGAGAGACAUACCCCAUGUUUUGUAUGCUCGGUGUCUCUAGAGCUGUUCGAAGACAAAGGUCUGACUAAGUUGCUGGACUCACGACUGACUCCUCCUUCCCUCUCCCACUCACACUGUGCAGUGCUGCUCUGCAACAGCUUUCCUUGCAUUUCGCUGUACGCAGCCCCAUAAUUUUUACCAGUGUGAAAUACUUUGGCAUGGAGGCAGUGAGGAAAAUCCUG
rnacentral:lncRNA from 1 species